UGGGGAAUAUUGCACAAUGGGGGAAACCCUGAUGCAGCAACGCCGCGUGAGUGAUGAAGGCCUUCGGGUUGUAAAGCUCUGUCUUUGGGGACGAUAAUGACGGUACCCAAGGAGGAAGCCACGGCUAACUACGUGCCAGCAGCCGCGGUAAUACGUAGGUGGCAAGCGUUGUCCGGAUUUACUGGGCGUAAAGGGAGCGUAGGCGGACUUUUAAGUGGGAUGUGAAAUACUCGGGCUCAACCCGAGUGCUGCAUUCCAAACUGGAAGUCUAGAGUGCAGGAGGGGAAAGUGGAAUUCCUAGUGUAGCGGUGAAAUGCGUAGAUAUUAGGAAGAACACCGGUGGCGAAGGCGACUUUCUGGACUGUAACUGACGCUGAGGCUCGAAAGCGUGGGGAGCGAACA
rnacentral:rRNA from 1 species